rnacentral:rRNA from 1 species
GACGUAGGGCGCGAGCGUUGUCCGGAUUUAUUGGGCGUAAAGAGCUCGUAGGCGGCUUGUCGCGUCGUCCGUGAAAACCUGCAGCUCAACUGCAGGCUUGCGGUCGAUACGGGCAGGCUAGAGUUCGGUAGGGGAGACUGGAAUUCCUGGUGUGAGCGGUGAAAUGACGCAGAUAAUCAGGAGGAACACCGGUGGCGAAGGCGGGUCUCUGGGCCGAUACUGACGCUGAGACGCGAAAGCGUGGGGAGCGAACAGG